rnacentral:rRNA from 1 species
UACGGGGGGGGCAAGCGUUGUUCGGAAUUACUGGGCGUAAAGGGCUUGUAGGUGGCCAACUAAGUCAAACGUGAAAUCCCUCAGCUUAACUGGGGAACUGCGUCUGAUACUGGAUGGCUUGAGUUUGGGAGAGGGACGCGGAAUUCCAGGUGUAGCGGUGAAAUGCGCAGAUAUCGGGAGGAACACCAAUUGCGAAGGCAGCUCGCUGGGACGUAACUGACGCUGAGACGCGAAAGCGUGGGGAGCAAACAGG